rnacentral:lncRNA from 1 species
AAGAUUUAAUUUUGCAUACAAUAUUAAUGUAUCAUAAAUUUAUUUAUCUUAUAUAUGUUCGUGAUCAAAUUAGAAUACAUAAAAUUUAAAUUUGAUUGCGAUGUUAUGUUUUAAGUUAUCGCAUUUACAUUCUUAUUUUGAUUGGAUUAAAAUGAAAAUUAAAUAAUCAUAAUUGUUUUUCGAUUAUUUAGUAUUUGGAGCUAAAUUGAAUUAAUUUAUUAUUUUGAUUGGUUUGGUGCAUACCAAAGCAGAUCUAAUUAAAAGAAAUAAUGAUUUAAUUUACUUUAAAGUAGUACUUCUGGAUAAUAUUUAUGUUUAUCAUGCAGCGCUAAGUCUGAUUAAUUUAUUAUUUCAACAGUUUGGGUGCAAGCUAAAGUGACCCUGACCGAAAGAAAAGAUAAAUUAACUGCUUUAAAGAAGUGCAUACAGAAAUUGCAUCAUAAUAUUAUAUUUAGUCUGCUCCCAAAGGAGGUCUAAUGUGAGGACUGAAAUUUGACAGUGUAGCUAAACUCUCUGUUGACGAUAUUUUUAUGUAUAAUUUAAUUACAUAAAUAGUAAUCAAGUUUCAGGAGAAAACGAGUUAGGAUGGAGAAGUUACGUGAACUUUAAUAAUGACUUAAAGUGAAUAGUAACUUCAGUUUUCCGGAGAGGCCGAUCAGUGGAGGUGGCUUCUGGUGCGUAUCGGACUCCGUUAAUAGCACUCCAAUAGCUCGUUUUCAAUGGUCCAACUAUUCUGGAACCUUUGACGCCGACAGAUUUCAAAUCUGACAUACAGUU